rnacentral:rRNA from 1 species
CACGAACCGGACAAACGUUAUUCGGAAUUAUUGGGCUUAAAGGGUGCGUAGGCGGUGCGGUAAGUGAGGUGUGAAAGCCCUCGGCUCAACCGAGGAAUUGCGCUUCAUACUGCCGUGCUGGAGGGAGACAGAGGUAAGCGGAACUGAUGGUGGAGCGGUGAAAUGCGUUGAUAUCAUCAGGAACACCGGUGGCGAAAGCGGCUUACUGGGUCUCUUCUGACGCUGAGGCACGAAAGCUAGGGUAGCGAACGGGAUUAGAUACCCCGGUAGUCCUAGCCGUAAACGAUGAGCACUUGAUUGAGGGCCCCCCCAUAGGCUCUCGAUCGCAGCGAAAGUGUUAAGUGCUCCGCCUGGGGAGUAUGGUCGCAAGGCUGAA